AUAAAAGGAGGCUUCAUGAAAGUGCUCUGUUGCCACUAAAGAAGAAAAAAACUGUUCAUUUGAGAACUCUAAUGAAUUUUGUUUCUUAAAUUUGAAAAAAAAAAAAAAAAAAAAAA
rnacentral:ribozyme from 1 species